GCCUAGGUAGCUUAGUUGAUAGUGUGUCUGCCUUGUAAGCGCUAGGCCGCGGGUUCGAUUCCCGCCCGGGGCG
rnacentral:tRNA from 1 species